rnacentral:rRNA from 1 species
ACCCGCUGAAUUUAAGCAUAUAAGUACGCAGAGGAUAUGAAAGCAAACAUGACCCCCUCAGUAAUGGCGAAUGAACAGGGAGCAGCUCAACAUGGAAAUCAGGGCUUGCCAACCUGACUUGUAAUCACGAGGGGUAACACCAAUGGAGGCGUAGGUGUAAGCCUGGUGGAAAACAGCACCAGUGAAGGUGAGAGUCCUGUGCGUCGCCUGCAGCCCUCUGUGUACGGUGUGCCUACGAAGAGUCACGCUCCUCGGAACUGGAGUGGGAAGCAGGUGGUAACCUUUACUUCAAGCUAAACACUAGCUCAAGACCGAUAGCAAACAAGUACCAUGAGGGACAAGUGAAAAGAACUUUGAGAAGAGAGUUAAACAGUGUUUGAAAUUGCUGAAGUGGAAGCGAGGGUGGCCUGUGUUCCAUUGUGAGAUUGCUGCGUGCCACCCGUCUUGAAACACGGACCAAGGAGUCUAACACCUGUGCGAGCUCAUGGGCAGCUGAAGCCUGUGUGCGCAAUGAAAAUGGCUGCUGGGCUUUGUGCACCAGCAACCAACCAUUUGCUUGAGAAAGGUUUGAGUAUGAGUAUGUCUGUUAGGACCCGAAAGAUGGUGAACUAUGCUUGUGAAGGGUAAGCUCAGGGGAAACUCUGAUGGAGGCUCACAGCGAUACUGACGUGCAAAUCGUUCGUCAUACAUGGGCAUAGGGGCGAAAGACUAAUCGAGCCGUCUAGUAGCUGGUUCCC